GAUGAACGCUGGCGGCGUGCCUAAUACAUGCAAGUCGAGCGAACAGACGAGGAGCUUGCUCCUCUGACGUUAGCGGCGGACGGGUGAGUAACACGUGGAUAACCUACCUAUAAGACUGGGAUAACUUCGGGAAACCGGAGCUAAUACCGGAUAAUAUAUUGAACCGCAUGGUUCAAUAGUGAAAGACGGUUUUGCUGUCACUUAUAGAUGGAUCCGCGCCGCAUUAGCUAGUUGGUAAGGUAACGGCUUACCAAGGCGACGAUGCGUAGCCGACCUGAGAGGGUGAUCGGCCAAACUGGAACUGAGAAACGGCCAGACUCCUACGGGAGGCAGCAGUAGGGAAUCUUCCGCAAUGGGCGAAAGCCUGACGGAGCAACGCCGCGUGAGUGAUGAAGGUCUUCGGAUCGUAAAACUCUGUUAUUAGGGAAGAACAAAUGUGUAAGUAACUAUGCACGUCUUGACGGUACCUAAUCAGAAAGCCACGGCUAACUACGUG
rnacentral:rRNA from 1 species